rnacentral:rRNA from 1 species
GAUGAACGCUGGCGGCGUGCCUAAUACAUGCAAGUCGAGCGAACGGACGAGAAGCUUGCUUCUCUGAUGUUAGCGGCGGACGUGUGAGUAACACGUGGAUAACCUACCUAUAAGACUGGGAUAACUUCGGGAAACCGGAGCUAAUACCGGAUAAUAUUUUGAACCGCAUGGUUCAAAAGUGAAAGACGGUCUUGCUGUCACUUAUAGAUGGAUCCCCGCUGCAUUAGCUAGUUGGUAAGGUAACGGCUUACCAAGGCAACGAUGCAUAGCCGACCUGAGAGGGUGAUCGGCCACACUGGAACUGAGACACGGUCCAGACUCCUACGGGAGGCAGCAGUAGGGAAUCUUCCGCAAUGGGCGAAAGCCUGACGGAGCAACGCCGCGUGAGUGAUGAAGGUCUUCGGAUCGUAAAACUCUGUUAUUAGGGAAGAACAUAUGUGUAAGUAACUGUGCACAUCUUGACGGUACCUAAUCAGAAAGCCACGGCUAACUACGUG